rnacentral:lncRNA from 1 species
AACUAAUUACAUAAAAUACAAGCAAAUCACCAACAAAUGGAUAAGCUAACACCAGUACCACCACAUUCUCUCGACCAGAUCACCAUUUAGUAAUGGGCUAAUUUUGCUGUGUAACCGAGGGAAUAUCCUCCGAGUACUACAGCUGAUGCAUAAUGAAUUAUGAGGUUUUCAACAAUGUGGGUGGUGGGAACAAGAACAAUUCCCAGAGCUGAUAGCAAAAUGGUAGAAUUAGUGAUUAGAAAGAUUUUCUUUCUUUUUUUAAAAUAACUUCAACUUUUGUUUUAGAUUCAGAAGGUACAUGUGCAGGUUUGUUACAUGGGCAUAUUGUGUGAAGCUGAGGUUUGGGACAUGAAUUGUCCUGUCACUAAAGUAAUAAGCAGAUACCCAACAGUUAGUUUUUCAACCCUUGCUGGCCAUCCUCCCCACUCGCUCUAGUAGUCCCCAGUGGCUGUUGUUGCCAUCUUUAUAUCCAUGUGUACCCAAUGCUUAGCUUUCACUUAUAAGUGAGAACAUGUGGUAUUUGGUCUUCUUUCAUGUUCAUUAUUCAAUCCAUGGUUGAAGGGAAAGAUUUUCAAACUUAAAGUUUAACCUUUGUCCCCAUUAGUUUUAUAUUUUUAAUUUUAAACAAGUGUCAUAUAUACUGACAUGAAAAAAAUCUCUAUUAUUGUCGUUUUCUCUCUUGGAACCCUGUUUGCUAGCCCUAUAUCCUAGCCAGAUCCAUUUUCUGAUCUUCUUUGCCUUGUGAAUUUUAUCCCUGUGAACUUUAUGAUGUGGUUUCCUUUGUCUUGCAUGUCAGAUAAAGGACUAGUAUCCAAAAUAUAAAAAACUGUUAAAGCUCAACAGUAAGAAAACAUAUAACCCAUCGAAAAAGUGGGCAAAAUAUCUAGACACCUCACCAGAGAAUAUAGACACAUGACAAAUAAUCAUA